AGUGAGGAAGGUCUGUUGUGACUGCGGAGGACUCUUGGAGGCCUGGGCUCUCUUUUGGGUCGCGGCGCGGCAGUCUCGGGAGGUCUGUCCUUGGCGAUCGGGCGGGCUGUGUGGGGCGCGCUUUCGGGCGGUGGCUGGCUCCUGCGGUGGGGAGGAGCGGCGGUCUAGCCGUGGGUCCGGGUCUGCAGGCCGGCUCCGGGUGGCCGCAGGUCCGGUUCCCUGCGCCCCACCGGUGCGACGUUGGCUCAGAACUUUGACAGAUUCGGGCCUUACCACCUUCGCCAUCCCGUACCCAGGCUAGCCCUUCGAAGGUCCCCCCUUACUUGUAGUGUGUCCUUUAUCUGCAGUGCCCCAGUCCUUGGAAGAAACGAAACUAGGUAUCGAUAGAACUUCCUUCUAGAAACAGAAACUUAUUACUGUCUGAAGAGAAACG
rnacentral:lncRNA from 1 species